rnacentral:misc_RNA from 1 species
GGGGUGUACUAAUAUCAAAGGUGGAGCCAGGAAAUUGAGUCAAUUGGGUAAAAGAAUUUUGUUUUGCAUAAUUCAAAGAAAAAAAAACAUUGUACACAAUAAUAAACUAUUCAUUAAGAGGAGAGAAAAAAAUAUUUUAAUACACAAUAAUAACCGAGUAGAAAAAGAAAAUAAUUUGCUAUAAUCUUAAAUUUAUAAUUCUCCACGAUAAGUUUUCAUUUUUUGAAAGCUUUGCAUGAUUAAUUCAUUACCAAUAAUAUCAAAGACAUCUUUCUCAAUACAUGUAAUCAAAAAAUAAUAUAUAAUUGAUCCCUCAUUCAAUUCUAUAAUCAUAUCUUCGCAAACUUCAUUGCAGAAAAUGCCUUUCAAUAAUUGCAGUCGCAAUAAGUAAUAUCAAUGCCUAUUUCACAAGUAAACCAAUGGAUGGACUAGAUUUUUCUUCAUUAGGAUUAGCUUUUGAGUGAGGUCACCAAUUCCCUUAAUUUACCUUAUGAAUUCAAGUUUGUCCACUAGUAGUUUUGCUGACACAAAAAAUAAAAAGGAAAAAGAAAAAGCUAAUUGGUAUAGAAUGAGAGGCAAAAAAAAGAUAUGGGAGAUGGAAAAAAAUGCGAUUUUUUUAAUAUGAGAAGGAAAAGAGAUGAAAGCUUAAAAAGGAAAAGUUAAAGAGAAAAAGAAAAAGACGCAUCUUUUAGAGUUUA